rnacentral:rRNA from 1 species
UACAGAGGGGGCAAGCGUUGUUCGGAAUUACUGGGCGUAAAGGGCGCGUAGGCGGCCUGCUAAGUCGAACGUGAAAUCCCCGGGCUCAACCCGGGAACUGCGUCCGAUACUGGCAGGCUUGAAUUCGGGAGAGGGAUGUGGAAUUCCAGGUGUAGCGGUGAAAUGCGUAGAUAUCUGGAGGAACACCGGUGGCGAAGGCGGCAUCCUGGACCGGUAUUGACGCUGAUGCGCGAAAGCCAGGGGAGCAAACGGG